ACCGCGUCAUAAUCAGUGUGUAUGUGUUGCGUGCCACACACAUCAGUUGUUUGUUUAAAAACAAAAAAAUUAAUUAUUGUCAGUUACAAUUAUUAUUAUUCAUUAAAUAAUCGUUUAUUUAAAUGAAUGUAUUCUAUUUAAAUCAAAGACACAGAGAAUGUUAAAUAAAUUCUCGUAAUCAAUUUUUUUUAAUCAUGCUAUAUAUUCCAAGUGCUAUCAGUGAUUAAUAUACAAACGACAUACAAAUAUGGCUGCUGCUGCGGCUGCCGCGCUUCUUGAUGAAUUGAUGGGAAGAAAUCGUAAUGUUUUACCAAAUGAAAAACCUAAAGAACUUAAUUGGGAAGAUCCUGAGUUUUGCAAACUCUACUUAGUUAAAUUUUGUCCUCAUGAUCUAUUUGUCAAUACACGAGCUGAUUUAGGUGCAUGUUCACGUGUGCAUGAUGAUGAAGCACGUGAACUUUAUGAAAAGGCACCAUACUCAUAUAGAAAACAACAGUAUGAAGAUGAAUUCAUACGAUUUUGUCAGAGUAUGCUCAAUGAAGUUGAAAGAAAAAUUGUCAAGGGCAAACAGAGGCUGGCACUCAUUGGAAAAACUGAAGCGCCGACUUUGACGCCAGCCCAGACACAAAGAAAUGAAGAGCAAAUAGCACUUUUGACAGAAAAAAUAAAUAAAUUAGUUGAAGAGGCUGAACAAAGUGGCAUUCAGGGUAAUGUCGAACAAGCACAAGGAUUAAUGAGGCUCUGUGAUCAAUUAAAAGAAGAACGUGAGACGCUUAGAAAAUCUAAUGACAAUAGUCAUUAUAAUCAGACUGCAGAGUUAGCAGCCGCACAAGAAAAACAAAUGGAAGUAUGUGAUGUUUGUGGAGCAUUUUUAAUUGUCGGUGACGCACAACAACGUAUUGAUGAUCAUCUUAUGGGCAAACAGCAUGUAGGAUAUGCUAGACUAAAAACAUCUCUCCAAGAAAUAAUGGCUAAACGUGAAAAAGCGAGAGAUGAAAAGGAACAAAGAAGAGAUGAAGAUCGUAAACAACGUGCUCGUGCUAAUGAAGAAAUUGAAAGGAGGAGGCGCGAAGGAGAUAGAGAACGUGAUCGUGAACGAGAUCGCGAUCGUGAUCGUGAAAGAGAUAAACGCCGUAGACGUGAAGAAGAAAAAAAUCGUCAUGAUUCACACAGGAAUGCAAACUACAGAAGUAGAAGUCAAUCACGCGAUCAUCAUGAUCGUCAUAGAGAAGAAGAAUACCGCCGCCAUAAUCGAGACAGAGUGAAUCGAGAGCACAGAAAUUCCAACAGUCAUAAUCGUCGUCGUCACCGGUCAAGAAGUCGAAGUCACAAGUAACAAUUCUUGAUUGGUUAGUGAGUGAGCAAUGAUCCAGGUAUGCACUAUACAAUUAAAUAUUAACGUGUCAAUUACUGUGCAGGUAUUGAAAAUAAAAUAAGAGUUUUACCAGCCGGAGGACCUCAAACUAUAUGCAAUAAAUAAUGCGAAUCACCAACUUAAAAUAUAUUUUAAGGUAAAGAUUUUAUGUAAUCUUUAAAUUGAAAAAUUAAAAACUUUAAACGCGAUCGUUAAAUAAAAAAGAAAAAAAAAUUCACUAUAAUUGUUCACGACGACUUUCUUUUCCUUUUUAUGAUUUUUUUUUUUUAAACAAUCGUGAUUGAUAAUUAAUAAAUUUAGUAUGGUUAUUAAUUACUAAUUUUUUUUUAAUUAUUGGAUUAACUGAAAUAGUUUAAUUAAUAAAGUUUAGUUUUGUUUGUUUAAUUAAUUGAAAAACUGGUCAGAUUCUUUACCGUAUUCCAAUAAAUAAAAUAAAAUUUAUCAAGUAGCAAAUGUUACUUUUACGAAAACGGGUUUAACGUUCCACAUCGAUUAUUAUUAUUAUUAUUAUUAUUAUUAUUAUUAUUAUUAUAAUUAUUAUUAAUUAUUAUUAUUGUUUUAACGUGUUUAAGUGUAAUUAAACAAACAAAAAAAUUAAUUAACUUAAAUUGUGUAUUA